rnacentral:rRNA from 1 species
GGGUGAGUAACACGUGGAUAACCUACCUAUAAGACUGGGAUAACUUCGGGAAACCGGAGCUAAUACCGGAUAAUAUUUUGAACCGCAUGGUUCAAAAGUGAAAGACGGUCUUGCUGUCACUUAUAGAUGGAUCCGCGCUGCAUUAGCUAGUUGGUAAGGUAACGGCUUACCAAGGCAACGAUGCAUAGCCGACCUGAGAAGGUGAUCGGCCACACUGGAACUGAGACACGGUCCAG